UACGUAGGGUGCAAGCGUUGUCCGGAAUUAUUGGGCGUAAAGAGCUCGUAGGCGGUUUGUCGCGUCUGCUGUGAAAACUCAGGGCUUAACUCUGAGCUUGCAGUGGGUACGGGCAGACUAGAGUGCGGUAGGGGAGACUGGAAUUCCUGGUGUAGCGGUGAAAUGCGCAGAUAUCGUCAAGAACACCGAUAGUGAAGACAGCUUACCAAGCUUCAACUGACGCUGAGGCACGAAAGUGUGGGGAUCAAACAGG
rnacentral:rRNA from 1 species